rfam:Streptomyces agglomeratus strain 6-3-2 1, whole genome shotgun sequence.
GAGAGCGACGUGCGGUGAAAGUCGCAUGCGUCGUUCGGGCUGGGGGCCGUGGGAAAAGGACCUGCUCAGCAGGCACCUCGCCGACGGCCCACCAGUAC